GAAGCCUAUCAGGAGAGCACCGCGAACUCGGAGGCCGCUAAAGGGUAAGGUAGCCUGUGCGGUCCUCGUCGGGAGCAGCUUGAGCCGCUGAGUUUCGGGAGGACGCUGGGCGCCUGCUUAGCGGGGUGUCCAUGCGGGUUGGAGAGUUCAGGCACGUUUACAUCGGCCGUGCUACACGCCUUGCGCAUGAACGAGACCCUUUGUAAAGGAGUCCCCACGGGGGUGAUGGAGAGCGUCAGAGUGGAAGAUGCUGCUCCAAUAGCUGUUUGUAGUCACCAUCUUGGGAAGGAGCAAACCAUUCAAGAGCUGUUUUCUUUUCAUCAGGAAGUGCAUUUCUCACUGGUGUGAAGGAGAAUAAUCAACAGAUCAAGACCAGAAGUUUUGAGAUGAUUUCUCAGGGAAGAGACUGCCCCGGGUGCUUGGGGCCUGAUCUGUCCGGCUUCUUGAUGCUCCAGGCUCUCUGCCGAAUUUUGCCCCUGUGCUCCAAUGAGACUAUUACUUUUAGCUCUGUUGACUCCUAAACUGUAGGCAAACCAACAAGCAAGAGACAAAGUAUCUUGCAGAUGGUCAGUCAAGCUCUAGUAUGCAGAUGGUCACACAGCCCUUAGGAAGAGGCCUCCUUACACCAAGAGGAAGAAUGAUAUGGUAUCUUGGGUAGAAAGUAUUUACAGAAGAUGAAAUCAAGCUAAAAGCCCAGGGAUUCCAGGCUGCCAGCUCCAGUAGCAGCCAGAGCUGCAGACCUUCUUCAUCUCCUGCCACUCUCCUCCAUCAUUCACCAGGCUCCAGCUAAGACAGCUUCUUAUUCCUCAACCAGCUGCUGCUCUCUGCCUCAAAUCUGCAACUGUUCACUUCAUUGAAGUCGCAGCUUAAAUGUUACCUCAUUAGAGAAACUUCCUCUGAGAAUUCAAUCUAAACUGCCACCAAAACAUCCCCACCACAGCCACUCUCUCACCUUUCACUUGGCUUCAGUUUUCUUCAUGUCACUUAGUUUCAUUGGAAGUUUUAUAAAAAUGUACCUGAGUUUACUUGUCCAUUAUCCCCCAUCUCUGUGCUAAUGGGAGCACGAUGGGAGCCAAAACCUUGUCUUGUUAACAGUGAAGCUUGACAUCUAGAACACUGCUGUAUACAGUUGGCUUUCAAGAAAGAAUCAUGUCAUCCAUGAACAAAUCACUUGCCGCCCUCUUCACCUUUGUAGGUGGUCGUGAGGCUGCUUUCCACCCCUGAGGAGGGCUACCUGUACACCACUGUUGCCCCCCCUUGUCAUCACGAUCACUGCCCAACAGCACAUGCCUCUCACUUAUCUCAACUUACUUUUAUUUGUGUCUAGUUCAUUUCCUUCAACCUGUCCUCUGGGAAUCCCCUUAGAACCUCAGCCUUUUUCUGGGUGUUUCACUUAUGCCCUUCUUUUUUUUGCCAGCUGUAUUGAAGUAUGAUUGACAAAAUUUGCAUUUAGGUUGCAUAAGUGAUGACAGUGUAUUUUUUGAGUUAUGGUGAGAACAUUUAAGAUCUACUCCUAGCAAAUUUAAAGUAUACAGUAUAGUAUUACUAACUGUACUCAACUUGCUAUACAUCAGAUCACAAGAACCUAUUCAUCUUAUAACUGAAAGUUUGUGUCCUUUGACCAAAUUUCCCCAUUUCCCCUGCCCCCCAGCUCCUGGAAACCACCAUUCUACUCUCUGGUUAUAUGAGUUCAGCUUUUUUAGGUUCCAUGUAUAAAUGAGAUCAUACAGUAUCUUUCUGUGUCUGGCUUAUUUCACUUAGCAUAGGUUCCUUCAGGCUCAGCCAUGUUGUUACAAAUGGCACGAUUUCCUUCCCUUGCCUCCUUACCAUAACCAAAACCUGUUCUUUACCAUCUGGGCCCAGUCCCUGAACCUCAGUGUCUGUAACUAGUGUCCAGGGGCAGUAACCUGGAGAAUCCCACAGUGGCAUCUUUGUUGCUGCAGAAGCUCCUGUAGGGCCUAAGUCAUCCAUGACACAUAAUUCAGCACCCUGACUUUUCCUCCCUAAAACAAUGGAGGGGGUAAUCCUGUGUUAAAAUCUCUUACCAGCUCUGGAGCUUUGGCUAGCAUCUCAUGAUCCUGAGGUUACAAGCUUGAGAAGAGUCAAAACACCAAGAACAGUUGAGCAGAAAUUACAGACAGAUCCUGCAUCCUUGAUGACAUGAGUGAGCUGCCGAAUCACCUGAGAUCACUUUCCUUUGGAUUUCUUGUGGUGUAAAUGGAUGAGCAUUCUAUUACUUACAGAGGGAAGAAAUACUAACAGGGCUGUGGGAUUGAGCAAGGACUUUUUUAAUGAUGAAACGUCCUUUUACAAAUGGAAGAAACACAGCCUCCAAGAGCAGCCGUUCCCACCUUGCCAAAGCCUGCUGUGGACAUUGAGGGAGGCCUGUUCAGGUAGGCCCUUUCUAAUCAUAUGGAUCCUUAAAAGCAGAGAAUCUUUCCUACUUGUAGUCAGAGGAAGAUGUGACUAAAAAAGAAUGGUCAGAAAUAUGCAAUGCUGCUGGCUUUGAAGAUGGAUGAAGGGGGCCAUGAGCCAUGUGGGUGGCCUCAGCUGCAAAAGGCAAAGAGCAAGAUUCUUCCCUAGAGCCUCCAAAAAGGACCAUAGCCCUGCUAAUACCACUGAGAUUCAUGUUGGACAUCUAUCCUACUGAACCUUAAGGUAAUAAAAUUUGCAAUGUUUU